AUCAGGCAUAUAUGCGAGAAGGAAAAUAACCUUUUCAGAAAUCACAGAUUCAUCCUUUGAUGCCACCAUUCAGUAUCAACCUUCAGUACCACAGGGGAGACAGCCCCUGGGCUGCACUGGAGGUGGAGGACCAUGCACUGAGAAGCAGGUGGAAACUGUAACACACAAUUUCCUAUUGGAGGUUCCUUGUUUUGACAAAAAAUCCAUUUUCUAUUGAGCAGAGAUUUAAACAUUCCUGCCUGCUGUAUGAGCAAUGAAGAGCAUCCAUCACACCGGGGGGAGGGAGGAGUGGGUCAUGAAAAGGGAAUUUGGGGGCUCUAUGUGAAAUGUUGGCAAACUUUAUGUCUCCUACAUGGAAGGAUCUAGAAACCAGCCCUGAGCAAAGCAAUGUGGAGGAAAGGUUAUUCCUAUGUUUUUAAUCAGCCACAAUGAAAAGCCUGAUUUGCUGUGAUUGCUGCUGAUGUGAUUGCUUUGACAUCUUUAGAUUUGUUCACACUCUUAGUCCAAAUAUGUGCUAUUUUAGAAAUUGAUACAAUGCAGAAUAUAAAAAGCACAGAUUCAACACUUGCACUAAAUUCAAUCAAAAUUUUAAAGCAAUCUCUACAGUAGUAUUAAAAUUACAGAUAUUAGCAAUCAAUUGAUAAAUUCACAUCAUAAACAGAAUUUGCAUUAUGCAUUUUCUCCUUAUGCCUUCCAUUUUCCAUGCAAAUAAGUAACUAACCCUUGUAACAAAAUACUAUUAUUGCAUAACAAAUUCCAUUUUUCUGUAAGGAGGUAAAAAGCUUCUGCACCAAAAUUGGUCAUUUUUUAAAUGGCAAAAGCAAUAAAAUCACAGACACAGUGUCAAGCUGACUGCAUUUCCAUGGCAGAAAUGGUUUUAUCUCUUGGUCCUAGAAAUGUCUCUUUCACAGAAGGAAAAACCCCAACCCAAACAGCUGUAAGGAGCUGUUUUAACCUUGCACUACUCCCAGUUUCAUACACUUCUCAAAUCCAGGCUGAUUUUAACUUGAACUCUACCCAUGGAUGCACACUGAACAAAUUAAUUUCCAUCCUAGGCUAUUGUUAGUCAACGGUUUUGCUUCAAAUACACUUAGAGGGGUUUUCCCCCAACUUGAACACUGGGGGCUACAGUAAGUUGAGACAGAAGUACAUUCAAAAGGAAAGCUUCUGCUCCAGGUGCCUCUUUGGGAGCUGAUGGGAGUUCUGUGUUUAAGAUGAGACCAUGAGCUCUUCAGUGCAUGGGCAUUACAGUUGAUGUGAGCAGAGAGCCUUCACCUCCUCCUUGUGAAAGUGGGUGGAUCAGAAUUCAGGAGGUGACAAACUUCCCCGUGCCCGUUACAGACUAAAAAGCACCUAGGCAUAGACUUCAGCCCUUGUCCCCCUCCAGG